rnacentral:lncRNA from 1 species
GGGAUUUCGGGUUUUAUCCUUACGGGAUCAUGGAGUUCUUUUUUCUUUAAAUUAGGGACCUCGGGUUUUUAUAUUUUUCAGCCCGGGAUUCCGGGAUCAGGUCCCCUCUAACCACCCCUUAAAUUAGCUUUAGUCAGUUAUACAAGAUUCAAAUCCUACAAUUGGCAUGUACAUAGAGCUUUAAAAAGAAAAAGCACUGAUAGAUUGUCCUAGAAGCAUAGUUUAUUAGAAUACUAAUGGUCUAUAUUAAAGCAGUUACAUUUGUUUCAUGUUUGAAGUGG